CCAGCCGCUGCCUAGCCUCCGUCCAGCCCUGUCCGGCCACCUCCGGCCGCCGUUCAACCUCGCCGGACUUCCCCGGCAUCCCCCUCGUCCUCCGCCGGCCUCCCCUCGCCGUUUUGGCCGCCGGAGCAACCCCGGCCAGCCCCGUCCAGCAACCCACGAAAUGGGUUUCCAGCUGGUUCAGGCCCGCUUUUGGGCCGUUUCUGGGCCUCGUUCCCGAGACCCGCUUUGGAGUUUAUCGUUCCUCGCGUCGUCCCCGUCGGAUUGAUCCGAUUUGCGCGCGAUUUGGUGAGUAAUCUCACUAAUCCCGGAUUAGUUGGCUAAUUAUGCUUAAGGUUGGUUUAGUUUUAAUUAAUUAUGUUUAGGUUGUUAGAUUAGAAUAAAUUAGUAAUUAUUAGUCAAUUGUGAUGCGAUUUAGAUAAAUUGAUUGCACAAUUAACAAGUAGACGUGGUCUACUAAUUAUUAGAAGUGUCUCGGGAUUUUUCCCGACCCUUAGUGGGCUCCAAUUAGGCUUUUCGGUCCUAAGUGGAAUUUUUAGUAUUUAAAUAUUAAUUUUCGGAAUUAAAUUAAAUAAUUAUUUAUUUUUCGAAAAUUCAACUGAGAUGGUCCGGAACUGAAAUUUUAUGCUGAUAACUGUGGUGAAGUCCGUUUAUUUAAUUGAGCACCAAUUUGAGCUAAAUUGGAUUUAUUAUAAUUAAUUAUUAAUUCUCGAAAUUAAUUAAUUAAUUAAUUAAUUAUUUUCUGGAAAUUCAACUGAGAUGGCCCGUGACCGGAAAAUUAUGCUGAUGACCGUGGUGAAGUUUGUUUAUUUAAUUGGGCUUUAUUUUGUGCUAAAUUGAAUUUUUAAUAUUUAUUAAUUAAUUAUUUAUUUUUUGAAAAUUAAGUUUGAGAUGGUCGACGACCGAAAUCUCGUGCCGAUUGUUGUGGCGUAGUCCGUUUAUUUAUUUGAGCUUUGAAUGGUGCUGAAUUGAUUUAAUUAUGGAUAUUUAGGAUAUGUUCCUAAAUUGAUUAUUUGAGUAAUUUGAGUAUGAAUUAAGGUUGUGGAUAAUUACUUUAGAAAUGGGAUGAAUCAUCAUGAAAGGCACGUGGCUCGGUGAAUCGUACAUCAUCUCGGAGAAUGCACGUGGCUCGGUGAUUUGGUAUAUCACUUCGGAGAAUGCACGUGGCUCGAUGAUUAGUACGUCACCUUGGAGAAUGCACGGGGCUUGAUGAUUAGAUAUAUCACCUCGGAGAAUGCACAUGGCUCGAUGACGAAGUAUGUCGCCUUGGAGAAUGCAUGUGGCUCGGUGAUUAAGUGUGGCAUCCUAAAAGAGACACGUGGGCUCGGUAAUUUGAUGCAUUACCUCGGAGAAUGCACGUGGUCUCAAUGAGUACAUUUGGCAUUUUGAAGAGACACGUGGGCUCGGUGACUUGAUGCAUCACUUCGGAGAAUGCACGUGGGCUCCCUGAUUCAGAAUGGCAUUUUAAAAGGCACGUGGGCUCGGUAAAGUAAUGCAUUACCUUGGAGAAUGCACGUGGCUCGGUGAUUGGUUUUAUUAAUUGAGACUGAAUAGCAAUAGCUUGAAUGACCGGGAAAUGGUCAGGCCGAUAUGUAAUCGACUAGGUCGAUUGAUCAUUGCUUUGAUUUGAUGUCGUGGAUUGAUUGACUGAUUGGAAAUGACCGUGAGAGGUCUUGUUGGCAUAUAAUCGACUAGGUCAAUUUGAUCGAUACUUCUAUCUGUGAUAUGAUUGCUUAGGUGCCUAUUAUGAAUUGUACUAACUUGUAGGUGGGAUCUGAGGCCAAGGUAAGUCAUCUGCUCUGUGCGUGUUUAGGCAGCCUAUAGUAUAAUGGUUUACUAAUUGGGUUUAGUGGGGUAGAACUCGCUGAGACGUAGUCUCAUCCCAGUUUGGGGAAAACAUUUCAG
rnacentral:lncRNA from 1 species